UGGGGAAUCUUGCGCAAUGGUCGAAAGACUGACGCAGCGACGCCGCGUGCGGGAGGAAGCUCUUCGGGGUGUAAACCGCUGUUGCCCGGGACGAAUGCUGAGUUUCGACUCAGUUGACGGUACCGGGUGAGGAAGCGCCGGCUGACUCUGUGCCAGCAGCCGCCGUACUCCAGAGGGCGCGAGCGUUGUCCGGAAUCACUGGGCGUAAAGGGCGCGUAGGUGGCGGCGUAAGGCCGCGGGGAAAGUUCGGGGCUCAACCCUGAAUCGGCCGCGGCGACUGCGUCGCUUGGGCACUGUAGAGGCAGAUGGAAUUCCGGGUGUAGCGGUGGAAUGCGUAGAGAUCCGGAAGAACACCGGUGGCGAAGGCGGUCUGCUGGGCAGUGGAGUCGCAAGGCUCCGUAGCCGACACUGAGGCGCGACAGCGUGGGGAGCAAA
rnacentral:rRNA from 1 species